rnacentral:tRNA from 1 species
GGAGAAGUGGGUGAGUGGCUGAAACCAGCGGUUUGCUAAAUCGCCGUGCGGGUCAACCGUACCGAGAGUUCGAAUCUCUCCUUCUCCGCCA